rnacentral:ncRNA from 1 species
AUUCUGGUUGAUCCUGCCAGUAGUUAUAUGCUUGUCUCAAAGAUUAAGCCAUGCAUGUCUAAGUACACACGAAUUAAAAGUGAAACCGCAAAAGGCUCAUUAUAUCAGUUAUGGUUCCUUAGAUCGUUAACAGUUACUUGGAUAACUGUGGUAAUUCUAGAGCUAAUACAUGCAAUUAAAACACGGACCUUCUGGGACGUGUGCUUUUAUUAGACUAAAACCAAGCGAUCAAUUGAUCGUUAUAUUGGUUGAACUCUAGAUAACAUGCAGAUCGUAUGGUCUUGUACCGACGACAGAUCUUUCAAAUGUCUGCCCUAUCAACUUUUGAUGGUAGUAUCUAGGACUACCAUGGUUGCAACGGGUAACGGGGAAUCAGGGUUCGAUUCCGGAGAGGGAGCCUGAGAAACGGCUACCACAUCUAAGGAAGGCAGCAGGCGCGUAAAUUACCCACUCCCAGCUCGGGGAGGUAGUGACGAAAAAUAACAAUACAGGACUCAUAUCCGAGGCCCUGUAAUUGGAAUGAGUACACUUUAAAUCCUUUAACAAGGACCAAUUGGAGGGCAAGUCUGGUGCCAGCAGCCGCGGUAAUUCCAGCUCCAAUAGCGUAUAUUAAAGUUGUUGCGGUUAAAACGUUCGUAGUUGAACUUGUGCUUCAUACGGGUAGUACAACAUACAUUUGUAGUUAGUACUAUACCUUUAUGUAUGUAAGCGUAUUAUCGGUGGAGUUCUUAUAUGUAAUUAAGUACUUGUACUUUUUUAUAUAUUCCUCCUAUUUAAAAACCUACAUUAGUGCUCUUAAUCGAGUGUUUUUGUGGGCCGGUACAAUUACUUUGAACAAAUUAGAGUGCUUAAAGC